GACAGAGGAUGCAAACGUUGCUCGGAAUUACUGGGCGUAAAGCGCGUGUAGGCGGUCUGAUAAGUCGGACGUGAAAUCCCGGGGCUCAACCCCGGAAGAGCGCUCGAUACUGUCUGACUUGGGUUCUGAAGAGGAGAGCGGAAUUCCCGGUGUAGAGGUGAAAUUCGUAGAUAUCGGGAGGAACACCAGUGGCGAAGGCGGCUCUCUGGGGCAGAUACCGACGCUGAGACGCGAAAGCGUGGGAAGCAAACAGG
rnacentral:rRNA from 1 species